AGAGCUCGAGCGGGUUGGGGAGGAAGAAGCCCGUCGCUGCGCGCAGUUCCCACGACCUCAAAAGGCCCGGGUGUUAGCUCUGAACGUGUGCGCGUGUUGCGCGCGCGGGCGAUUCCCAGUAACUCGUCUCCCUCCUGCGCAAGCUCUUCUUAAACGAGGCGGGAUGGCGCGCAAUUCGAAUGGUGGCCUUUUAAAGAUGCCGCAGCCGAGACCCACUUGGUUUCCCUUGUGUUCUUUAGACAAAGGGUGGUGCAUACAUUUUAGUAACGUGAUAAAUAUAAUAGUAACAGGUAAUAGCAACGGCAUUGCCAGUGGUUCCGGCUGGGACAACCCAGUCAUAUGGGUAGAGAAUAAUAAUAAUUGCAGCUUUGCAUGCUGGA